UGGCCUUGACAUACUAAGAACUUUCCAGAGAUGGAUUGGUGCCUUCGGGAACUUAGAUACAGGUGCUGCAUGGCUGUCGUCAGCUCGUGUCGUGAGAUGUUGGGUUAAGUCCGCAACGAGCGCAACCCUUUUCCUAUUUGCCAGCGGGUAAUGCCGGGAACUUUAAGGAUACUGCCAGUGACAAACUGGAGGAAGGCGGGGACGACGUCAAGUCAUCAUGGCCCUUACGGCCAGGGCUACACACGUGCUACAAUGGUCGGUACAAAGGGUUGCUACCUCGCGAGAGGAUGCUAAUCUCAAAAAGCCGAUCGUAGUCCGGAUCGCAGUCUGCAACUCGACUGCGUGAAGUCGGAAUCGCUAGUAAUCGCGGAUCAGAAUGCCGCGGUGAAUACGUUCCCGGGCCUUGUACACACCGCCCGUCACACCAUGGGAGUUUGUUGCACCAGAAGUAGGUAGUCUAACCGCAAGGAGGACGCUUACCACGGUGUGGCCGAUGACUGGGGUGAAGUCGUAACAAGGUAGGCGUAGAUGA
rnacentral:rRNA from 1 species